GACAGAGGUGCCAAGCGUUAGGCGGAAUCACUGGGCUUAAAGCGUGUGUAGGCGGAAUGGUAAGUACCUUGUGAAAUCCCACAGCUCAACUGUGGAACUGCUUGGUAUACUGCUUUUCUUGAGCUACUUAGGGGCAACCGGAACAAAUGGUGGAGCGGUGAAAUGCGUAGAUAUCAUUUGGAACGCCAAUGGUGAAAACAGGUUGCUGGGAGUAUGCUGACGCUGAGAACACGAAAGCCAGGGGAGCGAACGGGG
rnacentral:rRNA from 1 species